UGGUAUACAUGUUUAUUUCCACAGCAGAAGCAUCAAACCUGGGGUCAGGAACUUCAGGGUUAAAACGCUGUUUCAGUGAGAAAACUAGAUUUACCCUUCCUUGUUUUAAUUUAGCACCUUUUGUGGGAACCCAGCCCACUGUGAGAGUAGCAUUAAACACACACGGUUUCUAAAUCUUUACUGAGUUCUCUAGUGUUUCUGGCUGGACGACUCAUUCAUUUUUAUGACCGUGUGAUUUUUUUCACAACCAGGCGUCCCAUGGAAAUAAUUAUCUUACCUCAGUUUUCAUCCACGGCUUCCAAGCCCAACCAUGACAUGGUUAAUUGGAGAGAUCCAUCACCUUCUCGUGGAAUCCUCUUGAAGCGUUUGUCAACUCAUGCUCAAGGACAUCGCUCGUGCAGUUUCCCACCUGAUUAAUCCAUGUAGCCAAGCUGUCCAUCCCCAAAUCCCAGCAAGGUCCUUCCCUAUGACCAGCUCCCCAGCAGGCUGGCUGUGACCUCCCUGAAGGGGUCCAGGGAGAAAGCACACUGGCCGGGGAGGCAGGAGAAAUCGGUUCCAGCCUCGCACUCAUCACCAACUUGCUUUGUGACUUUUGGUUCUACAAGCUCUACAGGAAGCGUGGAUUGGGAGGCCUCAGGAAACUUACAAUCAUGGCAGAAGGUGAGGAAGAAGCAGGCACGACUUACGUAGCUGAAGCAGGAGGAAGACAGCG
rnacentral:lncRNA from 1 species